rnacentral:rRNA from 1 species
UACGUAGGGGGCAAGCGUUGUCCGGAUUUAUUGGGCGUAAAGAGCGUGUAGGCGGUUUGGUAGGUCCGCUGUGAAAACUCGGGGCUCAACCUCGAGACGCCGGUGGAAACCAUCAGACUAGAGUCCGGAAGAGGAGAGUGGAAUUCCUGGUGUAGCGGUGAAAUGCGCAGAUAUCGGGAAGAACACCCGUGGCGAAGGCGGCACUCUGGGACGGUACUGACGCUGAGACGCGAAAGCGUGGGGAGCGAACAGG